UACGUAGGGGGCCAGCGUUGCUCGGAAUUACUGGGCGUAAAGCGAGUGUAGGCGGUGUGGUAAGUCGGAUGUGAAAGCCCCGGGCUCAACCCGGGAAGUGCACUCGAUACUGCCACGCUAGAGUAUCGGAGAGGUUGGUGGAAUUCUCGGUGUAGAGGUGAAAUUCGUAGAUAUCGAGAAGAACACCGGUGGCGAAGGCGGCCAAACUGGACGGUGACUGACACUGAGACGCGAAAGCGUGGGGAGCAAACAGG
rnacentral:rRNA from 1 species